rnacentral:rRNA from 1 species
CACGUAGGGUGCGAGCGUUGUCCGGAAUUAUUGGGCGUAAAGAGCUCGUAGGCGGUGUGUCGCGUCGGCCGUGAAAACCUGCAGCUUAACUGUGGGCUUGCGGUCGAUACGGGCAUCACUGGAGUUCGGCAGGGGAGACUGGAAUUCCUGGUGUAGCGGUGAAAUGCGCAGAUAUCAGGAGGAACACCGGUGGCGAAGGCGGGUCACCGGACCGGAACUGACGCUGAGGCGCGAAAGCGUGGGGAGCAAACAGG